GAGUUAACCGCAAGGAGACAGGCGCCCAAGGUCGAGGAGUCGAUGAUUGGGGUG
rnacentral:rRNA from 1 species